rnacentral:lncRNA from 1 species
GAGGAGUCGGGAUGGGUCGCGCGAGAGAAGGAUCAGGUCCCGGUGGUUCUGCAGGAGGCGCGUGCAAAGGGGAACACGCGAGAAUGUUUCAGGGUGAGUUCAGGUUCAGGCCUAGUCUUCUAUAUAUUUCAGUAGGGUGGAACAGAGUAGAUUUAUUGGCCAUGUAGUUGAUUAUUUGAUCAUAUGUUUACUAUAUAGUUUUUCAUUACAUGAACACAUGACUGUAAAGAAAUCUCUCAGUUAAGGUCAGGCAUAUGACAUCUAACUGUACUGCAGUAGCAUGUAUUCAGGUUCAGGCCUUUGUACCAUUGCAGUCUGUAGCAAAUGCAAAACAAUGUUCACUAGUGCAGUUUUGCAAACACCUAUCAGUUGGAUGUCAAGUAAAGUUAUCUAGUCAGGCAUGUAUAUGUCAAAUCCGAACCAUGGUAUGUACUGUAUUACGUGAACAUGAACAUGAAAAGAAGAUAAAAGAGCUAAACUUUGGUAAAAUACAAAUAUGCAUUACACGAUCUACUCAUCAUCACUUGAAUGCUCAUUCUCACUCAAUGCGCCAUCUUCCUGUCCAUCAUCAUCAGUACCACUAUCUUGUGUCUAACAACUGAUCAAUAUCCUUCACAGUUGAAGUUGUCAAGGGCAUUUCUUCCUGGUAUGAACUGGUCAUGUUUCCAAAGGGGUUGAAUCCAUCCGUGGCAAUACCAAGCUUCAUAUUACGGGCAUCCUUAGCGAAACAACUGAACUCACUAUCAAAGUGCUCCCAUGCUUCACCAUCAGCAGGGUGUCUCAUAACAUUUGCCUCAGCAAUCCUCUUCUCCUUAUGCCACCUUGCAUCUGCUGAUUGUUCCUUUGACACAUCUUGAUGUCCCACAUUCAGGACAAUGGCUCUUGUUGGCAUGUUGGCCCAAAAACAAUGCACAAUCAAACUUGGAAACAUGAAUUGUCUCGUAACCCAGCCCGACUUCACUAAGAACAUUCUUAGCUUUAGUGUAUGAUUUAGGUAUAUCAGCAUGUGGAAACGCCACACUAAUAAGCUCAACAAACUGAUUAAAUGCUCUACUUGUAAUCCGCUUGUAUGAUUUGAGAUGGAGGAGCUUAAUAAUGGACGACAGCCGUGUGAAAUCACUACAUCCUUCAUAAAGAUCUUUCUUCGCUUCAUCAAUUAGCUUGGAAAAGAGGUUAGGCUUACCCUUGCCUUGCCUUCCAGACAUGAACAUAUCAUCUACCAUAUACGCAACAUCGCCUCCGUUGCCAACAUCACAGUAAUCAUCAUCUUAUUGAUAUGCAGCACCCUCUGUAUUAUCACCUUCAUCAUCAGUCACCGCUUCACCAUGAAAGUCCCACCUUGUAUAUGUAACAAACAUACCAUUGCAUAAUUUGUGCUCCUCUACUUCAGGCUGGCUCGGUGUUCCAUAUUCAAACAGUCCUUGCAUGGGCACAAUAUGUCCUGAUUUUCCCUGAAAUUUUGGCGAGCGAAACCCAUAAACUCUUCAACACCUUUCAUGUAUGGUGGUGUGAAACGCGUUCCUUGUAUCCAGCUUCGAUCCAUUGCACUACAACAAAAUAGUUUACUGUUAGCAAAUUAUAUGCUUACACCGCAUCGAAGCAAAAUUUACUACUAACACAACUAGUGAACCCACUACCAAACUGAAACAACAAAACAGCCACAAAUUUAACCCUUUCAAGAUUGAUGAAAACAUCUACUCAGGCAAUGAAUUUAGUAGAACCAAACCUCCUUCACAUUGUCUUUCCUAAGUACAGCAUAUAUGCUUGGUUUCCAAAGGCCACGGACUUGUGCAUGUCUUAUACACAAACAUAUAUAUGCUCACUGUCAUUGCAAAACCAUGCAUCUAUCUAUGCUAUAUACAUCAUAGCAACAUUCGUACACACAAUACAAUAGCAGAAGUAACAGUUCAAUCGUUCACACAAUUUACCUUGCAGGGGUCGGCUGGAUCGAUGCUUUGGGAGUUGGGGCCAAGCCGGGAGCACUGGCAAGUCCAAACUCUGCGCCUUUGUCAGGUGAUGGAUGGACAGAAAACUCUGAGCACAGUUGGUGACGGGACGGUGGCCAGUUGGGGACAGGUUGGGGACGAGCCACGUUGUCCCAGUCGUCGACGAGCAAAUGUGAUGCCUGAGGUGGAAGAGCGGAGGUAAGAGGGAGAGGCGGAGGCGCGGUGUGGUAGCCGGUGCGAUGCGGCGGCGCUGUAACGCCUCCUACGAUAUGAUGGCAGAUGGCUGGAUGGAUCCGCUUGACGUGGUACAAGGGAGUGGAUGCACUUACUUGCAAUUGGCAACAGCCAGCCGGAACCGAUCUGUGUCGUGCUUCAGCUAUCACCGUCCUGCUUCUCCCCGCCGCGAAGCGCCGCCAGCUAGAACCGAGAAAACGAUCAGAUCGCGUCACAUAUGCCCCGGGAAGAAAUAACUAACCUACGCCUAGGCGUAUAGUCCAAGAAGAUGGUACGACAAUUUGAAUAGUGUCCAGACUCUUUCCUAGUGGCAACGUUGUUUGUGCAGAUCAUGGUGGUUGCCGGUUCGAACUCCUGUACCAAUUCUUUUUGCAUCGAAUCUCCUGUUUUAAUUUUAAGUUUUCAUAGAUAGAACGAAACAACAUGACCUCACCAGCGCCCCAUUUAAGUUCUUUGCCCAGUCUGUUUACAGAUAAGAAUAAAAAAAAAGUAAGAUGCCAUCGGAUCUCCAAUUUCCAUUUUAACUUUUGAGAUAGAACGAAACAAAACUAGCUCACGAGCGCCCAAUUGAAGUUUUCAGCAUAGACACCGCUGAACAAAAAAAUGUGUUAAAUUUUAUAUUUUUAAUGCCCGAUUAAUUUUUUUGUCAAGUCACUACCUAUUAUAUUAGAAAGAACAAACUAACCAUCUAAAAAAAGAACAAAACAAGGUUUUCCCUAUUUAAGAAUAUAAUAGUCAUAAGUAUUUUCAUGGCCACUACCUACUUAUAUUAGCUAGAACAAAAUAAUUA